CCACUCACUAUAGUCAUUCGUAUGUCGAAUGACAUUGCAAAUACAAUGCAAUCAUAAAAGUAAGUUUCCUAAUCCCUAAAUAAUGAAUAGCCUCAAGUGAACGCAGUAAAAUCAUUCAUUCGUUUAAAUUUUCAUACAUUGAUCUCACAACACAUGGCAUUGAACAAUGUUCUAAUCUAUUUAUGCCUAAAACUCCCGAACUAACUCCCGAACCGUCAAAUGCACGAAUGCUGCCAAUCGCAUGAAAAUGUAUUGGCACUAUUAGUAAACUACCGAACACCAC